GCGAAGGUGGCGGAAUUGGCAGACGCACUAGCUUGAGGUGCUAGCGCCAGAAAUGGCAUAGGGGUUCAAGUCCCCUCCUUCGCA
rnacentral:tRNA from 1 species